AGCACUUUGUGUGCAUGUUUUUGUUCAACUGGUGGACAAAGGCAGGAAAGACGAAGUGCAAAAAUAAAUCCUCUUUUGCAACCCAGGACUCAUUGUUCAGUGUGAGUCUUGAUACAUACGAGCAGGAACAUG
rnacentral:snoRNA from 1 species